AAGAAUUUUGAGACUCCUAAAAAAAAUAGCUGAAAACACUAGUAAAAUACUGUUCCAUUAAAGAUUUUCUCUGAUUUUUGAGUUGCUGAUUUUUGAAAUGGUAUUUGCUUCUGAGGUAUGAAGUGAUAUAGAAUUUUGGAAAAGUUUUCUGGGUCAAUUGGUUAAGCAGUACUGUUCCGUAAAGUUUUCAAGUUAAUCUCAUAGCUUUCCAUUGUGAAUCUGGGUUGGAAUUUGUGGUUAGCUUGUUACUGCUGAUUUUUUCAUUCUGUCUCACUCCUGUUCAUUUUCUUUUGUCCAAUUUCCAGGUAUUCCUUGACUUCCUAAGGG
rnacentral:lncRNA from 1 species